UAGUAUUUUUUCCACCGUGACGAGAGAACGUCGAAUUUUUAGUCGUGAUUUGUGUAAAGCAAAAAUAAAUACUUUUUGCUGCUCAUAUACAUUAUUAUUAUUCACAUUGAUAGUUUUUCGAAGCUGGCUAAUGCUUCUCAAUAAACAAGUUCGAUCGUUUUUUAUUGCAAGACCCAAAAAUAGAACGCGAUGGAUCAGAACCAAGGUUAUAGGAUAUCGGAUGGGAAUCAAUGCGCCGAGGAAUUACGCUGCUAUUGGAAGAGCCCACCAAUUUUUUUCCUAGACGCUCAAGUGAUGUUUUGGCCCAUGAUACACAUAUGUUACAUAUUUUACAAAGUUUGUUAACCUACAUCAUAGUUCGCACACGGUAAGCCAUGGCUUGUCUUAUUUCCUGUGUGCGAUAUACAUUUUCAUCAAACAUGUCUGACCGUGUGUUUGCUGAGUAACCAUAACAAACAAUGUCACAAAAUAAAUAAGAAUAAAUAAUGUUA